AAGGUGGACGAGGAGGAUGUCAUCUCUCACAUCCUCACAGGACUAGACGAGGAGUUCGACCCCGUGGUGUCCGCCAUGUGCUCUAGGGUUGAGCCUGUCGGGGUUCCAGAGCUGUACUCGCAGCUCCUAAGCUUCGAGA
rfam:Triticum aestivum genome assembly, contig: Triticum_aestivum_CS42_TGACv1_scaffold_131132_2BL